CUAAAUUAUCGCUCAGUGUGAAAGGAAGUGCAGAGGCUUAUACAACCAGGAAGUUGGCUUAGAAGCAGCCAUCUUUUAAAGAAAGCGUAACAGCUCACUGGUCGAGCCUUUGUGCGCCGAAAAUGUACCGGGGCUUAAGUGAUAUACCGAAGACAAGAAUUUGUCCCGAUUUAUCGGGAUAAGUGGUAGGGGAGCAUUUCUGUCUGCGUUGAAGUGGUAGGCGUGAGCCGCCAUGGAGUGACAGGAAGAGAGAAUGUUGGCAUAAGUAGCACAAAUUGGGGUGAGAACCCCCAACACCGUAAACCCAAGGUUUCCUGGGCAACGCAAAUCGUCCCAGGGUUAGUCGGUCCUAAGGUGAGGCCGAAAGGCGUAACCGAUGGCCAGCAGGUUAAUAUUCCUGCACUGUCUGAAGAGUCAACUCAAGGUGCGCGUUUCCGGAGUUCCCGCGUGUUUUUGGAUACGCACGUUCCGCAAGGAAAAUGUGAAGCCGCAAGGUGGAACAAAUGGGAGUAAAGGAGGCGCCUAGAAAAGCUUUGAGAAUUUGUCUUCAGUCAUCCGUACCGUAAACCGACACAGGUGGGUGGGCACAAGUGUGCUAAGGUGUACGAGAGAACCCUCGUUUAGGAACUCGGCAAAAAAGUGGCCGUAACUUCGGGAUAAGGCCUGCCCAAACGCCGCAAGGCGGAUUGGGUCGCAGCGUGCGUCUCUCAAGUGACUGUUUACCAAAAACAUAGGUCCCUGCGAAGUCGUAAGACAAUGUAUAGGGGCUGAUGCCUGGCCAGUGUCAGAACGUUAAGGGGAGAUGUCAUCCCGCCGCAAGGCGGGGGCAGCAUUGAACUGAAGCGCUGAUGAACGCCGGCCGUAACUAUAACGGUCCUAAGGUGGAAUUGCUGCCUUAGUGAGGUGAAAGACCUCCUUCGAACUUUGCAGCCAUUGCAAAGAUGUAGAAGAAAAUCUGACUAUAUGCUGGAAUAGCCGUGGAUCCGGUGCUACCUCUACAUGGUGUGGAGGUGAUAAUGCAUCCGGUGCGGCCAAUCAGCAGGGAAGAAUCUAGAAAGGAAGAUGAACAUGAAAUACCGGAUGUACACUGGUAAUCAAGAUAUCUUGCAAAUGUUUCAAGGUGUCGGAAUUGUAUCCACCAAGGACAUGUCAAGCCUGCAAAGACAAGAGUUCGAAGCAGGCAGCGAUGACGAAGCGGUGGACGAGGUCAAAGAUUUCAUGGAGCACACAGGAAUUCCUGUGCGAGUAAUAACUCGUAUCGGAUCGCAAGACGAGGAGAUCAUUGUGCGCAGGUUUGGUAACUAGAUUACCCUCAGAGACUACAUGUCAGAGCACUUUGUGGAGAGGAGGGUAGGCUGAAUCAAUAUGAAUCGGCUUACCCAAAAAUUUCUUCAGGUACAAGAUAUAGUCCGAACUGCAUGGCGACAUGCAGAGUGCAACAGAAAUGAUUGCGCCACACAUUAAGUGUGUAACAAAAAGAGCGAAAUCCCUUGUCGGGUGAACAAAUAUUUCCGAGGUCGGGAAUACUCGCCCGAAUGCUGUGGUGACACGGCAUAAGUACGCCGACUCAUAACGGUGGAAUCCUAUGAUAUAAUAGGACAAUACCGUGGGAAGUCGGUCCGACAUAGUGUCGGACUUGACCCCGUAACGACUGACCCGAAAGGGGAGGGUUGCCAAUUAUAUGGCGGCCAACACGUCGGCUCUUACUUAAACAAACAUUCUAUGGAGAUCGCGUCCUAUAUUACAGGAUUCGUUGAUGGUGAGGGAAGUUUUCUUGUUUCGUUUUCCAUUCGCUCCAAACUGAGAAUGGGUAUUGAGGCUCGUCCGAGCUUCACCGUUAGUCAGCAUGAGCGAAGUAAAGCGAUACUUGUAGAACUUCAAAAUUUCUUUGGUUGUGGAAGUAUACGAUUUGAUUCGCAUGAUCGAACUUAUAAAUACGAGGUAAGAAGUCUCGCAGAACUUAUAAGUAAAAUCAUUCCGCAUUUUAAUCAGUAUACAUUGCAAACAUCGAAGCGCAUUGAUUUCGAACUAUUCUCAAAAAUCUGCGGGUUCAUGAAAAAUAAUGAGCACCGCACUAAUGAUGGAAUACGAAAAAUCAUUGACCUUGCGUAUCAGAUGAACAAUUUAGGCGCAAGACGAUAUACGAAAAAUGAUCUCCUAAAGAUUGUAGUAAGAUGAAAGUAUAGUCUAAACAUCAUGGUAACAUGAUGAGUAAUAAUGGAGUUCCGACCUGCACGAAUGGCAUAACAACUUGAGAACUGUCUUAACGAGGGACUCGGCGAAAUUGCAAGACUCGUGAAGAUGCGAGUUACCCGCGGCUAGACGAAAAGACCCCGUGAAGCUUUACUGCAGCUUGGCCUUGGGGUAGGGUAUGGACUGUUUAGCGUAGGUGGGAGCCGCAAGGCGUCAAUGAAACACCACCCUUUCUAUAGUUUACUCCUCACCUUUGCGCCUGAAUCGACGCAAGGGAACAGGGCCUGGUAGGCAGUUUAUCUGGGGCGGAUGCCUCCUAAAAGGUAACGGAGGCGUUUACAAAGGUAGGCUUAGCUCGGAUGGAAAUCGAGCACGACGCGCAAACGCAAAAGCCUGCUUGACUGCGAGUCAUACAAGACGAGCAGAGACGAAAGUCGAAGUUAGUGAUCCGACGCUCGGUCAUAGGACCGGCGAAGCUCAACGGAUAAAAGCUACUCCGGGGAUAACAGGCUGAUCUUGCCCAAGCGCCCAUAGCGACGGCAAGGUUUGGCACCUUAACAUAUCGGGGUGCAAGCAAAGUGAUUUGCUUCCAACUUUUCGUUUAACUAGCUAGUUAGUAAGAUAGGGAGAAAUAUAAAAUCGGCUUAUAACGGUGAACCCCGACUCCGCCUCAGGCGGAAGGGCAAUACCGUGGGAAGUUCUCUUCGU
rnacentral:rRNA from 1 species